GACGAACGCUGGCGGCACGCUUAACACAUGCAAGUCGAACGAGAGAAGAGAAGCUUGCUUUUCUGAUCUAGUGGCGGACGGGUGAGUAACACGUGAGCAAUCUGCCUUUCAGAGGGGGAUACCGAUUGGAAACGAUCGUUAAUACCGCAUAAUAUAAUUGAACCGCAUGAUUUGAUUAUCAAAGAUUUAUCGCUGAAAGAUGAGCUCGCGUCUGAUUAGCUAGUUGGUAAGGUAACGGCUUACCAAGGCGACGAUCAGUAGCCGGACUGAGAGGUUGAUCGGCCACAUUGGGACUGAGACACGGCCCAGACUCCUACGGGAGGCAGCAGUGGGGAAUAUUGCACAAUGGAGGAAACUCUGAUGCAGCGAUGCCGCGUGAGGGAAGAAGGUUUUAGGAUUGUAAACCUCUGUCUUCAGGGACGAAAAAAGACGGUACCUGAGGAGGAAGCUCCGGCUAACUACGUGCCAGCAGCCGCGGUAAUACGUAGGGAGCGAGCGUUGUCCGGAAUUACUGGGUGUAAAGGGAGCGUAGGCGGGAUCGCAAGUCAGAUGUGAAAACUAUGGGCUUAACCCAUAAACCGCAUUUGAAACUGUGGUUCUUGAGUGAAGUAGAGGUAAGCGGAAUUCCUAGUGUAGCGGUGAAAUGCGUAGAUAUUAGGAGGAACAUCAGUGGCGAAGGCGGCUUACUGGGCUUUAACUGACGCUGAGGCUCGAAAGCGUGGGGAGCAAACAGGAUUCGAUCCCCUGGUAGUCCACGCCGUAAACGAUGAUUAUUAGGUGUGGGGGGACUGACCCCUUCCGUGCCGCAGCAAACGCAAUAAGUAAUCCACCUGGGGAGUACGACCGCAAGGUUGAAACUCAAAGGAAUUGACGGGGGCCCGCACAAGCAGUGGAGUAUGUGGAUUAAUUCGAAGCAACGCGAAGAACCUUACCAGGUCUUGACAUCGUAUGCAUAGCUCAGAGAUGAGUGAAAUCUCUUCGGAGACAUAUAGACAGGUGGUGCAUGGUUGUCGUCAGCUCGUGUCGUGAGAUGUUGGGUUAAGUCCCGCAACGAGCGCAACCCUUACUGUUAGUUGCUACGCAAGAGCACUCUAGCAGGACUGCCGUUGACAAAACGGAGGAAGGUGGGGAUGACGUCAAAUCAUCAUGCCCCUUAUGACCUGGGCCUCACACGUACUACAAUGGCUGUCAACAGAGGGAAGCAAAGCCGCGAGGUGGAGCGAACCCCUAAAAGCAGUCUUAGUUCGGAUUGUAGGCUGCAACCCGCCUACAUGAAGUCGGAAUUGCUAGUAAUCGCAGAUCAGCAUGCUGCGGUGAAUACGUUCCCGGGCCUUGCACA
rnacentral:rRNA from 1 species